GUGGGGAAUCUUGCGCAAUGGGCGAAAGCCUGACGCAGCCAUGCCGCGUGAAUGAUGAAGGUCUUAGGAUUGUAAAAUUCUUUCACCGGGGACGAUAAUGACGGUACCCGGAGAAGAAGCCCCGGCUAACUUCGUGCCAGCAGCCGCGGUAAUACGAAGGGGGCUAGCGUUGCUCGGAAUUACUGGGCGUAAAGGGCGCGUAGGCGGACAGUUUAGUCAGAGGUGAAAGCCCAGGGCUCAACCUUGGAAUUGCCUUUGAUACUGGCUGUCUUGAGUACGGGAGAGGUGAGUGGAACUCCGAGUGUAGAGGUGAAAUUCGUAGAUAUUCGGAAGAACACCAGUGGCGAAGGCGACUCACUGGCGCGUUACUGACGCUGAGGCGCGAAAGCGUGGGGAGCAAACAGGAUUAGAUACCCUGGUAGUCC
rnacentral:rRNA from 1 species